GAAGCCGGUUAUACACAUAUUCCUGAAAUUGACCAGAGAAGAAUUAUCAAAUCUAUGAAUAUUCAUAAAAACCUAGAUAAAAGAAGAAUUCAAUACCAAUAAAACAGCGCACAAAGAACAAGAAAAGAGCAUCUCAUUUUUGACACAACAAUGAGCUUAAGAAUGCCAUUGAAUCACCUGUUUGGUUGAGGAGAAAAAGAAUAUGAGCGAGAAGAGAGGGUUUUAGUAAGUAAUUAUUUUUAAUACUUUUCCGUCAUGUCAACAAGUCUCCAAACUAGUUUGCUUUUCAACUUUAGAAAAAUCAUUUUCUCAGCGACCAAACAGAGCAGACCAAAAGGAAAAAAAUGCACACAGAGAAAAAA
rnacentral:misc_RNA from 1 species